AAACCUAAAUCUGAAAUCCCCUUCAUCCCUUUCCUCUUUCCCAUUUCUUACUCACCAUCGCCACCUUUCGUCCCAGUGCUUCCUCCGCUCUCUCCCUCCUUCCUUUCUCUCUCUAAAAAUCCCCAUCUCAAUGAAGCACAGCCCUAAAAUUAGUGGCUUCUGUCACUGUUCAUCGUCUUCUCCGACGAUUUUUCUAUUUGCAUUCCCGUCUCUCUCGCAAACCCUAGUGUUUUUGUUUGGUUCUUGUUCGGCAAGAGUGUCAGCAGCCCGACCCAAUCGCGGCGCGCCACUAGGGCUGUCUCGUCCCCUUGGACUCAAAUCGUUCGGGGCGAAUCUGAGCCGAAUGCGGCCGUUGCUUCGUCGCUAUCGACGGCUGUGACUGAGCCAGCUGUCGCCGCCGCGGCGCGUCCGUCCCUUCCUUCCUCUUCUUCGGCUAAUCAGACUCUCGAAUUCGUCUUCUCCUCCACUGGUGGAGGAGUCGGUGGGUGAGGGCUCAGAGAACGGCAAUGCGGGUAAGAGGCCAGCUUGGAACAAGCCUUCUAAUGGGGCCGUCAAGGUUGGGUCUGUAAUGGGAGCUGUGCCUUGGCCUGCCUUGUCUGAGUCAGCUCGGGCUUCUACCGAAUCGUCUUCUGAAUCUCCCAAAGGUGUAUCAGAACCCUCAUUGUUGUCUGUCUCCGUAUCGCAGUUUUCUUUCUUGAAUCUUUUUGCUAUUGUUUGGUUGCUGAGAAAGUUGGGAACUGAAUCAAACUAUAUGCAACACUUGGGUUUUUUUCUGAUAUACUAAUUUUUCAUUGAAAUUUACCAUAAUCAAGAAAUGCACCAUUAGCUCUCUGCAUUCGAAUGGUGGUUUGCUGAUAAAUUUUGGGUAGAUGCAUAAUCUUUUUAAAUAAAAAGAAAACCUUUGAACAAUGAGAAAAAGGACGAAGGGUGGCGAUGGUCAGGAAGAAAUAGGGGAGAGGAAAGGGAUGAAGGGGAUUUCAAAUUUGAGUUUAGUUUUUUACUUUUUUUCAAUAUUUAAUUUUUAAGUUUUUAAUUUUUAAUUUUUUUUAAUAUCUAGGUGGCGUCAUGUCAUUAUUUACUAGGACGUCAUAUCAUCAGUUAUACUUAACAGCUAACUUAACGGAUGUACCAAAUUGUUCCAAAAUUAAGACUUGAAGUAUAACUCGGAUGAAAAAAACUUUAUGCAUCAAAUGUUGAAAACUACGAAAUUUCAGGGUAUUAAACUGAGAUUAACCCAUGUAGUUAAUAUUCUUCCUUUAUUUGUUGAUUAUUGCAGGAAGACAUUAUCCCAAGGGAAAUAGUCAUGCAAAGGGUACUCAUCUUGCAGUUUACCUAAGAUUGGUUGAUGCAAAAAAACUACAUUCUCGCUCCAAAAUCUUUACAAAGUUUUCCUUGCGCUUCGCAGAUCAUCUGCAUUCCAAGCAUUGCUUUGGGAAAGGUUCAGCGCUUUUGGUCCAGAUGGGGGGUUCCCAACAUUCAUCACAGUGGUCAGUUUUGAUCAGGCAGACAAGGGGCUUUUGAUGAACGGAAAAGGGUUCUCGCCGAAUCCUUUUCCUGGGAUCUUGGGAAUCUGUGAUCGUAAACGUUCAUCGUACGUUGUGCGGUCAGAAAUCAUUUCAAAAUUUAAAAUUAAAUAUAAAUAGUACCUAAUGAAAACUGAUCGUACAAUAUACGAUGAACGGUCAUGAUCACAGGAUCCCCAUGAAAAGAAUCCGGCGAGGAUCCUUUUCCUUGAUGAACGAUACUUGCAUAGUGGAUGCAGAGGUCACAGUCUUUGACACUACUAAAGCACUAAGCUUGCCGAUAUCUUUUGGUAAAUAAAUUCAAAAACAAAAGAAGAUUAACCACCUACUAUGCGAGUUUUGAGACUCGUUUUCAAACAUGUUAGAAAAUUACAAUUUUUUCCUCGUUAUUUUUUUUUAUUUUUUUUUGAACAAAUGAUAUUAUCUACUAAAUGGGAGCGGGUGAGUUUAGCCUCAUAAUGGGCUAGUAAUAAUGUUGUUCAUUCGCCCUUGGCGAGAAUUGAACCUAAGACCUCUCACUUACAAGUGAAGAGAAAUAUCACUAGACCAGUGUUCUAAAAAUCGGCCUAGGAGGCCACCUAGGCCCUGGGCGGUGCAUGCCAACCUUGAUUUUGGGCAUGGCGUUCUGAAAAAUCGGUUGGAAGCUAGCCAGCUACCUAGGCGGAGGUAGGUGGCUAAGUGGUUUUAUUUAUUUAUUCUAAAUUAAAAAUUAAAUAAGUUAACUUAAGGUUCCUGUGUCCACGAGCUCAUCCCCUGUUAUCCAAGAACACUUAUUAUGAUUAUAUGCUUAAUGUGCUUUAAUUUGUAAGUUUGGUGGAUACUUGUUGGAUACAUGUAUCAUCCAAGAACUCUCAUUCUGAUUAUAUGCUCAAUGUGCUUUUAAAUUGGAAGUAUGUUGGAUGCUUAUUGCAUACAGGUAUUAUCCAAGAACAUUCAUUUUGAUUAUAUGCUUAAUGUGCCUUUAAAUUGUAAGCUUGAUGGAUGCUUGUUGCCUUGUUGGAUACAUGUAUUAUCCAAGAACACUCACAUAGAUUAUAUGGUUAAUGUGUUUUCAAAUUGUAAGCUUGUUGGAUACAUGUACUUUAUGUAAUCUCUGCUUAUUUACACAAUAUAUAAUAAAUUUAUCUAAAUCAACCUAGGCGCUAGGCUCCAGCCCGUCGUUCGACUAGCAGCUAGCUCUUUUUAGAACAUUGCACUAGACCAUAGUACUAAGUGGUAUACUUUUAUUGUCUGUUUUAGAAAAUCUAAUAAUGUUUCACCAAACUCUUUUCUCUUUAUAUAUAGAGAUUAAUAUAAAUUUAAAGUCAAAUAGAUUUUUAGGAAAUUUUCAAUAAUUUCAUAUAAUGGCAUAUUAUUUGAACUCCAUUAAAUUUGGUAUUUAUUGUGAUACAUUAGUUUAUCAAUGUGUGACAAAGACAUAUAAUAGUAAUAAUUUUAUUAUUCAUGUAAAAAAGGAUCAUGUUUGUAAUUAUGGGUUGAAUUUGUUAAAAUUCAGUAAUAUUUACAAAACAAAGACAAAACUAUCUACCAAAGUUAAGAGAAAAUUACAAGAAACACGCAUAGUUAAAUGGUUUACAGCGCGCAACUUAAGAUUAGUGAACCCUCUAAUAAGUCCUAUUAACAAAUCGGCGUGAUAUUUUGAGAAGUUGAAGAAUUAAGUGUAAUUUGCAAAAUAUCUUCCUAUUAAAACAUAACUUUUUUUUUUUCAAGUCAUGAAACUUUGUCCUAAUUUUAUAUGUGCUUCAAUAUCCUAGUGGAUAGUGUAUGUGGUCGUUCCUUUUUCGAAAUUCUGGUUCUCCUAAAUUAUUAUAAUAGUUUGAAUCAAAGUCUUUUUGUUUGAUAAUAAUAAAUCUAAAAAAAAAAAUAGUUGUUGCAGUUCUAUUGGAUUAUGAAUGAUUGUGUAAAUCCUAAUGUAUCUAGGAGUAUCUUUUAUAUUCCUAUUAGUAGUUUAAUUCAUAUUAGAGAUGUAAUGCUAUAAGGUUAAGGAUUCUACCAAUCCUAAUACUAUAAAUAAGGGUACAAAGGGGUGAAUCAACACACACCUCAUAAUUAUAUAUAUAUUUCGUCUUUCUCUAAUGCCGCCGGCCAUUCUUCCUCUAUGUCCUAAAUACAGUUCAGUUAAAUAGACCUACAACACGUUAUCAGCACACUCUUGCCAGAAGCUAAGGAACUGAAGGAUCGUGGAGGAAGCUUUCUUCUACAAAUUCAAAGGCUUUCAAUUGUUUUAUGCCAAUCAGGGAUAUGUCGAACUUGAACAAGCUCGAUUUCACCGCUCUAGAAGUCUCUGGAAGAAACUACCUGAAGUGGGUUCAAGACGUGAAGCUCCAUCUUACUACAAAGAGUCUCAGAGCUACGAUUGAGGAACCAAUCGACGAUGAACCCGUCGAUGAAGCUCAUAAAGCUACUGCUAGGAUCUUCAUUCGAAGACACGUCCACGAUGCACUGCAGACCAAGUACAUCGCAGAGGAGGAUCCCCAUACGCUCUGGCCGAUCGCUUUGAUCACUAGAAAGACAUCUACUUGCCUGAAGCGAGGCACAACUGGCAACAUUUACGCUUCCAAGAUUUUAAGUCUUUGAAUGAAUACAACUCUGAAGUUUGUAGAAUCUGAUCACUGCUUAAGUUCUGUAAAGAAGACUUAACCGAACAAGAUCUCCUGGAGAAAACCUAUUUGAUCUUCAAUGCCACAAAUAUUGUCAUGCAGCAACAAUAUAAGGCACAAAAGUUCACCAAAUUUUUGGAUUUAAUAUAUGUUAUCCUGAAGCGCUUGCAACUAAUUCUAACAACCACAACCGACGGAAACCUCGUCAUGGCUGUGGAAAUAAGCGACAAGGCCCACCACUGGCCCAAGAUUCACCGAACAGAGGCCCAUCCAAGGGAGGAAACUUGACCCAGAAGCGCUAACCCCUUGCCUUUAAGGCCCCAAACUUCAACAACAAGGGAAAAGUUAUCGUUUAAUCGGAUUUGACUGAACUGGACAUGUGCUACCACUGUGGAUUAAAGGAUCAUUGGUCAGGCGUAUACCGAGCUACCCCCGAGGAUAUUGCCAAGUAUCAUUCCCGUCAUCAGACUAACUUUAUGCAUGUGGAACAUCCCGAAGAUGCUACUAUAACUUUAGAGGUUUAAGAUUUUCAGGAGGCAUCCACUCCU